UAAANUUCUUUUAUAAGGGAAUAAAGUGAGGGACGUGUCCCUUUUUGUAUGUACCUUAUGAAUAAGGAUCGGCUAACUCCGUGCCAGCAGCCGCGGUAAUACGGAGGAUCCGAGCGUUAUCCGGAUUUAUUGGGUUUAAAGGGAGCGUAGGUUGACAUAUAAGUCAGCUGUGAAAGUUUACGGCUCAACCGUGAAAUUGCAGUUGAUACUGUAUGUCUUGAGUGUACAAGAGGUGGGCGGAAUUCGUGGUGCAGCGGUGAAAUGCUUAGAUAUCACGAAGAACUCCAAUUGCGAAGGCAGCUCACUGGGGUACAACUGACACUGAGGCUCGAAAGUGUGGGUAUCAAACAGGAUUAGAUACCCUGGUAGUCCACACAGUAAACGAUGAAUACUCGCUGUUUGCGAUAUACAGUAAGCGGCCAAGCGAAAGCAUUAAGUAUUCCACCUGGGGAGUACGCCGGCAACGGUGAAACUCAAAGGAAUUGACGGGGGCCCGCACAAGCGGAGGAACAUGUGGUUUAAUUCGAUGAUACGCGAGGAACCUUACCCGGGCUUGAAUUGCAGAGGAACAUAGUUGAAAGAUUAUGGCCGCAAGGUCUCUGUGAAGGUGCUGCAUGGUUGUCGUCAGCUCGUGCCGUGAGGUGUCGGCUUAAGUGCCAUAACGAGCGCAACCCUUAUCAUUAGUUACUAACAGGUCAUGCUGAGGACUCUAGUGAGACUGCCGUCGUAAGAUGUGAGGAAGGUGG
rnacentral:rRNA from 1 species